UACGUAGGGUGCAAGCGUUAAUCGGAAUUACUGGGCGUAAAGCGUGCGCAGGCGGUUUUGUAAGUUUGUCGUGAAAGCCCCGGGCUCAACCUGGGAAUUGCGAUGAAGACUGCAAGGCUUGAAUCUGGCAGAGGGGGGUAGAAUUCCACAUGUAGCAGUGAAAUGCGUAGAGAUGUGGAGGAACACCGAUGGCGAAGGCAGCCCCCCUGGGUCAAGAUUGACGCUCAUGCACGAAAGCGUGGGGAGCAAACAGG
rnacentral:rRNA from 1 species